rnacentral:rRNA from 1 species
AGAGUUUGAUCAUGGCUCAGAUUGAACGCUGGCGGCAGGCCUAACACAUGCAAGUCGAACGGUAACAGGAAGAAGCUUGCUUCUUUGCUGACGAGUGGCGGACGGGUGAGUAAUGUCUGGGAAACU